CAGUCGCCGCGGUAAUACGGAGGAUCCAAGCGUUAUCCGGAAUCAUUGGGUUUAAAGGGUCCGUAGGCGGUCUUGUAAGUCAGUGGUGAAAGCCCAUCGCUCAACGGUGGAACGGCCAUUGAUACUGCAGAACUUGAAUUAUUGGGAAGUAACUAGAAUAUGUAGUGUAGCGGUGAAAUGCUUAGAGAUUACAUGGAAUACCAAUUGCGAAGGCAGGUUACUACCAAUUGAUUGACGCUGAUGGACGAAAGCGUGGGUAGCGAACAGGAUUAGAUACCCCAGUAGUCCCUGUCUCUUAUAC
rnacentral:rRNA from 1 species